rnacentral:lncRNA from 1 species
CCUACUUUCAAAAUCUUCGUGAAGUCUUUAACAAUUUUUCUUUUCUAUAACAUGACCAAGAGAGAAAUGCUACAACGCAAUAAAUAAAUAGAUAAAUAAGUAAAGCAAAAAAAAGGUUGUGGAUUUAACAUUAUGAUCCAAAGCUUGAUUUCAAGAUUGAAACCUCAACAUUUAUCCAUAUAGCAAAUUUCCUUGCAGAUGCUUCACGUAAUCUAAACAUGCUCAAAUCCUCAUCAAUUGCUAUUAAAAAACUGCAUUACAGAGUUUAAAGGUUACCCGGGUCGCAAAAAAUAAAUAUAGCAGUGAGGAAUAAGAGCUCAGCAACAGAGAACAACAACAAAAAAUCAACAAAAAUCUAGCAGCAAAUUGUGUUUAAACAGCCCGAGAACCUUAGAGAAGAAACUCAGAACCAACUCUAAAGAAAACUUAUACUUUUUUAAAAGUUUGCACUCUAAGAUUCACUCACAAAGCACAGAAUUUUCAGUUUACUAAAAUAUUCAACUGCUGAUUUUUUGUUCGAAGAUAUGUGUGUUCAAGCAACUCUUUAGCCCCCUUUUAAGUGAUAGAAUGUGUGUCUUUUAUAGGAGAAGAAACCAUGCAUUCAUGAUUAAAAAUCUACCCUCUUAUGACAGCUUGUUUCAACAAAAUCUGCUCUAAAUAUUCAAAAGGCAAGACUUUUGGUUCAAUUUUGUCCAAAAGAGAGUAUUUUCAACCAAAAUCUGCUCUUAACUAUUCAAAGACAAACUUUUGGUUCAAAAUAUGUCAAAAAGUAUUGUAUUUAUCACCAAACAAUGACUUUUGAGUUUUGUACUCCAAAGUCUUUGCACAGUAAAAAUAACCAAACUUGUACUUUUUCUUCUUUAAUUUUAAUUUUUAUCAACACAAUAUUCAAAUAAUCAAAUCCAAUAUAAACAAAUUUACUAAGCACUUGAAUCUUUUAUUAUCUACUAUCAGGACUAAGCAAAUAGCUAUUUUAAAACUAAUGAAUAACUAUUUAUCAGUGAUUAAUAACCAUAAAUGACUAAGCUAACACAUAUUAAAUACAAUUAAUAAUAAAAAUAUAAAUAAUAAAAAAAAUCAGAAAUUAUGCUAGACAUAAACUAACUACAAUACAAUUAGAGAAAAUAGACAAAGGAAACGAGAAUAGGGGUACACCAAACGAGGGCGUUCGGGGUGGUCGCCGAAUUUUCGGGGUGGAUUUGACAUCAAUAGGUAGGUCUUGAGGAGCUAUAUCCGUUGAUGUAGGUAUUGUGGGGGUGGUAGUGGCCGGAGCUUCAAGAAUUUGGGCAAAAAAGUGGCAGCUAAAGUUUUCUAGAUCUAAAAUUCAAUGUGUUUGAGGAGGUUUUGAAGGAUUUGGUUUGGAGAUAUAGAAAGACGAGCUUGUGGAGAUUACAUGGUGUGAAUUUGGGGGUAUUUGGAGGUGGUCCGCCGCCGGUGGGCGAUUUCCGGCGGCGGCGGCUAGAGAGAAUGAAAAGAGAGAGAAGAGAGAGGAAGAAGAAAAGAAUUAUGGGAAAAUGGG